AUUGAACGCUGGCGGCAUGCCUUACACAUGCAAGUCGAACGGUAACGGGCCUUCGGGUGCCGACGAGUGGCGAACGGGUGAGUAAUGUAUCGGAACGUACCUUUCAGUGGGGGAUAACGUAGCGAAAGUUACGCUAAUACCGCAUAUUCUGUGCGCAGGAAAGCAGGGGAUCGCAAGACCUUGCGCUGAUUGAGCGGCCGAUAUCAGAUUAGCUAGUUGGUGAGGUAAAGGCUCACCAAGGAGACGAUCUGUAGCGGGUCUGAGAGGAUGAUCCGCCACACUGGAACUGAGACACGGUCCAGACUCCUACGGGAGGCAGCAGUGGGGAAUUUUGGACAAUGGGGGCAACCCUGAUCCAGCCAUGCCGCGUGAGUGAAGAAGGCCUUCGGGUUGUAAAGCUCUUUCGGCCGGGAAGAAAUCGUAUCAGCUAAUACCUGGUGCGGAUGACGGUACCGGCAUAAGAAGCACCGGCUAACUACGUGCCAGCAGCCGCAGUAACAC
rnacentral:rRNA from 1 species